GGAUUGAAGGGGUUAAAGCAGUCUUGUAUAUUUUGACUAUCACUGUACAUACUACAUAAACACGUAAAUAAUGACUAGUUGAUUUGGAGUGUUAUUUAAUAUUAAUGUUUACGACAAGGUAUUCCUUUCCAUCCCAUAUGGUUUCCUGACCUAUUUUAGGCCUUUGUGUGUUGUUUUCUUCAGGGUCAUCUAGAAACGCAGGCAUGUAAUUGCUCAACUCAGUUUGUAGACAGUGCACCAAGUAUCUGCAUAAAAAAAAAACCA